CAGAAUGAUAUGUAACUCAGUGGGGCACAGGGAAAUGAGAAUGUACAUACAUGUCACCAAAGGAUUUUCGACCGAAGUGCCAAGGACUGGACAACUGAAUUUAAAGGCCAGCUGAAGCUCAAUAGUUUGAACUUCAUUUAAAUGAAGAUGGAAUGAAAGAAGAAAGAACUGUUAAAAUUAUGUAAGUUUUUUAUACAGCCAAGUAAAGGAUUCAGCUCUUGUUCCAAAAGAUCAAUGAAGAUGGUAUUCUUAAAUUUUCCUUGCUUCUAUGAAACUCCCUAAUUAUGUAAUUUUCUUUUAUUAUAUUGGUUUACUCUGAAUUUUAUUGUCAAACAUGACCUGAAAUUCAAUUUAUAGAAAUACUGACAAUAAACUGUAACUUAAAUUGGAACAUUUGUAUACUAAUAUGAUGCAGUGUUGUUUCACAGUUCUCUGCAUUGAAGACUAUUCUGAACUCUAAAUAUUUAAAUAAACUGCACUAAAAUACAAUGAGA